rnacentral:rRNA from 1 species
ACGGAAGGCAGCAGUGGGGAAUAUUGCACAAUGGGGGAAACCCUGAUGCAGCGACGCCGCGUGGAGGAAGAAGGUCUUCGGAUUGUAAACUCCUGUUGUUAAGGACGAUAAUGACGGUACUUAACAAGGAAGCCACGGCUAACUACGUGCCAGCAGCCGCGGUAAAACGUAGGUGGCAAGCGUUGUCCGGAAUUACUGGGUGUAAAGGGAGCGCAGGCGGACAGACAAGUUGGAAGUGAAACCCACAGGCUCAACCUGUGGCCUGCUUCCAAAACUGUUUAUCUUGAGUAGUGCAGAGGUAGGCGGAAUUCCCGGUGUAGCGGUGGAAUGCGUAGAUAUUAGGAGGAACACCAGUGGCGAAGGCGGCCUGCUGGACGACAACUGACGCUGAGGCGCGAAAGCGUGGGGAGCAAACAGGAUUAGAUACCCUGGUA